rnacentral:rRNA from 1 species
UACGUAGGGUGCGAGCGUUAAUCGGAAUACUGGGCGUAAAGCGUGCGCAGGCGGCGGCUCAAGUCAGGUGUGAAAUCCCCGGGCUUAACCGUGGGAAUUGCGCUUGAAACUAGGUCGCUAGAGUGUGGCAGAGGGGGGUGGAAUUCCACGUGUAGCAGUGAAAUGCGUAGAGAUGUGGAGGAACACCGAUGGCGAAGGCAGCCCCCUGGGUCAACACUGACGCUCAUGCACGAAAGGCGUGGGGAGCAAACAGGAU